UCAGUUGGCUUAUAAUUGAAGUCUAGUAUGAAUGGGAACUCGGGGAUAUUCUGUCUUUUAUUUACGAUUAGAAAUUACUAAUUAAGUGAAAAUUCUUAAUCCUUUAGAAAAAAGACGAGAAGACCCUAGAAAUUUUUUAUAAUAUAUUUUGUUGGGGCGACAAGGUAACAUAAAACUUACCUAUACAAUAGGAAAUUUUUUAGUUGGGUAAAUAAAUUACUCUAGGGAUAACAGCAUAAUAUUUUAAAGUUUGUGACCUCGAUGUUGGACUAGGAAAUACCCUACU
rnacentral:rRNA from 1 species